GACGAACGCUGGCGGCGUGCCUAACACAUGCAAGUCGAGCGGAGUCGAUCGACGGAAGCCUUCGGGCGGAAGAUGGUUGACUUAGCGGCGGAUGGGUGAGUAACGCGUGGGCAACCUGCCUCGAAGACCGGGAUAACAGCCCGAAAGGGCUGCUAAUACCGGAUGUGGUCAAGGAUCCGCAUGGAUUUUUGAUUAAAGGGGAAACCCGUUUCGAGAUGAGCCCGCGUCCUAUCAGCUAGUUGGUGAGGUAAAAGCUCACCAAGGCGACGACGGGUAGCCGGCCUGAGAGGGUGACCGGCCACACUGGAACUGAGACACGGUCCAGACUCCUACGGGGGGCAGCAGUGGGGAAUCUUCCACAAUGGGCGAAAGCCUGAUGGAGCGACGCCGCGUGAGCGAAGAAGGCCUCGGUGUAAGCUCUGUCUGGAGGGACGAAGGAAGUGACGGUACCUCCGGAGGAAGCCACGGCUAACUACGUG
rnacentral:rRNA from 1 species